UAAAACCUUGACGAAAAGUACAAACCAAUGAGCUUUAGGUCAAAUGGUACUUCCUUCCUUUAGCAAAGUGGAGGUUGAGGUCGUGGGUUCAUGUCUAAACAGGUGCAUAACUUACCAAUGAAAAAAAUAUGCAAAUUAUGGAGUAGCCCUAAUUCCUGAAUCAGUGAAUCAAAAUAAAGCAGGUUUUAAAAUUUCCUUUUUGCACACACGCACAUAUCUUAUUUGUCUUUGACUAACAGUUCUUUUGAAGUCUAUAGUGACUCUGUACUAUAAUCUUUUGUCCCUCAAUGCUAGUGUUUCUCACUGCUGCCAUAAAACUAGGUAUAUAGCCAUUUGAAAAUUCGUCUUCUUCUCUCUCUCUCGGCUAGUGAAGAACCAAAUAGGUAUAUGAAACAGUACUCUUGUUUUGCUUACCUUUAAUGUUUGGAAUUUGCAGAAUGAAGUUGUUCUCGUUCAUGAAAUCGAAGCUGUUCUUGGAAAACAAAUGGAAAAGUUUGAGUGUAAAGAGAAUGAAGUGCUUUCUAAUAUUACAAAGGUUUCGAAUGCCGGAUGCGUGGCAAAUAUGAACAUGGUGGAUGAUGGCUUUGAGGAGAAAGCAAAAGAACGCAAAAAACAGAAAUUGAAAACCCUGGCAGAGAAAGGAUUAUUGAAGAAAAGGAGUAAAAAGAGAAAAGGAGAUAGAUCUGCUAAAUAGGUUGAUAAUUUUUGUGGUUCAUCUUUGUAUUUAUCCUCUUCUAUCACUGAGUGACAACUUAUUAAUUCGGAUGUGAAUCAAAAUGGUGGAAGUUUUACUUCUGCCUCACUCUGAGAAUGCUAAUUGCAUUGUUCUUUGGUGAUUUUCUA